UACAGAGGUCUCAACCGUUGUUCGGAUUCAUUGGGCGUAAAGGGUGCGUAGGCGGUCGCGUAAGUCAGGUGUGAAAUCUCAGGGCUCAACCCUGAAACUGCACUUGAUACUGCGUGGCUCGGGUACUGGAGAGGAGACUGGAAUUUACGGUGUAGCAGUGAAAUGCGUAGAUAUCGUAAGGAAGACCAGUGGCGAAGGCGAGUCUCUGGACAGUUACCGACGCUGAGGCACGAAGGUCAGGG
rnacentral:rRNA from 1 species